rnacentral:rRNA from 1 species
AUUGAACGCUGGCGGCAGGCCUAACACAUGCAAGUCGAACGAGUGGCGGACGGGUGAGUAAUGUCUGGGAAACUGCCUGAUGGAGGGGGAUAACUACUGGAAACGGUAGAUAAUACAGCAUACCCGAGGAUGUGACCAGAUGGGAUUAGCUAGUAGGUGGGGUAAAGGCGCACCUAGGCGACGAACCCUAGCUGGUGUGAGAGGAUGACCAGCCACACUGGAACUGAGACACGGUCCAGACUCCUACGGGAGGCAGCAGUGGGGAAUAUUGCACAAGGGGCGCAAGCCUGAUGCAGCCAUGCCGCGUGUAUGAAGAAGGCCUUCGGGUUGUAAAGUACUUUCAGCGGGGAGGCGUUACCCGCAGAAGAAGCACCGGCUAACUCCGUGCCAGCAGCCGCGGUAAUUC